rnacentral:rRNA from 1 species
UGCCUUUCAGAGGGGGAUAACGGCUGGAAACGGUCGCUAAUACCGCAUGAUGUGUUCGGAUGGCAUCAUCUGAACAUCAAAGAUUUAUCGCUGAAAGAUGGGCUCGCGUCUGAUUAGAUAGUUGGUGGGGUAACGGUCUACCAAGUCUACGAUCAGUAGCCGGACUGAGAGGUUGAACGGCCACAUUGGGACUGAGAUACGGCCCAGACUCCUACGGGAGGCAGCAGUGGGGAAUAUUGCACAAUGGGGGAAACCCUGAUGCAGCAACGCCGCGUGAAGGAUGACGGUUUUCGGAUUGUAAACUUCUUUUCUUAGUGACGAAGACAGUGACGGUAGCUAAGGAAUAAGCAUCGGCUAACUACGUGCCAGCAGCCGCGGUAAUACGUAGGAUGCAAGCGUUAUCCGGAUUUACUGGGUGUAAAGGGAGCGCAGGCGGGACUGCAAGUUGGAUGUGAAAUACCGUGGCUUAACCACGGAACUGCAUCCAAAACUGUAGUUCUUGAGUGAAGUAGAGGCAAGCGGAAUUCCGAGUGUAGCGGUGAAAUGCGUAGAUAUUCGGAGGAACACCAGUGGCGAAGGCGGCUUGCUGGGCUUUAACUGACGCUGAGGCUCGAAAGUGUGGGGAGCAAACAGGAUUAGAUACCCUGGUAGUCCACACUGUAAACGAUGAUAGCUAGGUGUGGGGGGUCUGACCCCUUCCGUGCCGGAG